UUGGGAGUUUGAGGCCAUAGCAGAAGUCUUCAGGCUGUGGCCCUGUCAGAUUCCAACGACUCUGUGAAUUUUGCU
rnacentral:ribozyme from 1 species